rnacentral:lncRNA from 1 species
GGCUUGCGUCUGAUUAUUAGUUGUGAGACAUUAGCUUACCAAGGCAAUGAUCAGUAGCUGGUUCGAGAGGAUGAUUUGCCACACUGGGACUGAGACACGGCCCAGACUCCUACGGGAGGUAGCAGUGGGUAAUUUUCCAUAAUGGGCAAAAACCUGACAGAGCAAUGCUGUGUGGAGGUAGAAGGCCCACGGGUCGUGAACUUCUUUUUCCGGAGAAGAAGCAAUGAUAGUAUCUGGGGAAUAAGCAUCGAUUAGCUCUGUGC